rnacentral:rRNA from 1 species
CAUGUCUAAGUUUACGCAAUUAAACCGCGAAACUGCGAAUGGCUCAUUAAAUCAGUUAUCGUUUAUUUGAUAGUACCUUACUACUUGGAUAACCGUGGUAAUUCUAGAGCUAAUACAUGCUAAAAACCCCGACUUCGGAAGGGGUGUAUUUAUUAGAUUAAAAACCAAUGCCCUUCGGGGCUUCCUGGUGAUUCAUGAUAACUUCUCGAAUCGCACGGCCUUGCGCCGGCGAUGGUUCAUUCAAAUUUCUGCCCUAUCAACUUUCGACGGCUGGGUCUUGGCCAGCCAUGGUGACAACGGGUAACGGAGGGUUAGGGCUCGACCCCGGAGAAGGAGCCUGAGAAACGGCUACUACAUCCAAGGAAGGCAGCAGGCGCGCAAAUUACCCAAUCCCGACACGGGGAGGUAGUGACAAUAAAUACUGAUACAGGGCUCUUUUGGGUCUUGUAAUUGGAAUGAGUACAAUUUAAAUCCCUUAACGAGGAACAAU